rnacentral:rRNA from 1 species
UACGUAGGGCGCAAGCGUUGUCCGGAAUUAUUGGGCGGAAAGAGCUCGUAGGCGGUUUGUCGCGUCUGCUGUGAAAACCUAAGGCUCAACCUUGGGCUUGCAGUGGGUACGGGCAGACUAGAGUGCGGUAGGGGUGACUGGAAUUCCUGGUGUAGCGGUGGAAUGCGCAGAUAUCAGGAGGAACACCGAUGGCGAAGGCAGGUCACUGGGCCGCAACUGACGCUGAGGAGCGAAAGCAUGGGGAGCGAACAGG